AUCGCUUCUCGGCCUUUUGGCUAAGAUCAAGUGUAGUAUCUCUUCUUAUCAGUUUAAAAUUGUAUUUCUUUGAUCAAUCCUUUCACGCAUGGUACACACUGUUUAUGAAAAAUGCAUACAACUAAAGGUUUUCUAAGAUGAUCUCAUUUAAUACUCAUGGCAACUAUGAAGCAUGUACUAUUAUUACCCUC